AGCAGCCGCGGUAAUUCCAGCUCCAAUAGCGUAUAUUAAAGUUGUUGCAGUUAAAAAAGCUCGUAGUUGAAUUUCGGGGUUAGUAGGUUGGUCAUGCCUCUGGUAUGUACUGGUCUCACUGAUUCCUCCUUCCUUAUGAACCGUAGUGCCAUUAAUUUGGUGUUGCGAGGAAUUUGGACUGUUACUUUGAAAAAAUUAGAGUGUUUAAAGCAAGCUAACGCUUGAAUACAUUAGCAUGGAAUAAUGAAAUAGGACGUUCGAUCUUAUUUUGUUGGUUUUCUAGGAUUGACGUAAUGAUUAAUAGGGAUAGUUGGGGGCAUUAGUAUUCAAUUGUCAGAGGUGAAAUUCUUGGAUUUAUUGAAGACUAACUACUGCGAAAGCAUUUGCCAAGGAUGUUUUCAUUAAUCAAGAACGAAAGUUAGGGGAUCGAAGACGAUCAGAUACCGUCGUAGUCUUAACCAUAAACUAUGCCGACUAGGGAUCGGAUGAUGUUAAUUUUUAAUGACUCAUUCGGCGCCUU
rnacentral:rRNA from 1 species